CAGUGAAUUAAAUCCCCAAUGAUAGCUAAUAUAAUAUUGAAAGAGAUACAAUUCCCUUAAAUGAUACAAUAGUCCAAAUGGCUAGUAUUGCCAGUCGGACUUGAUAUAAAGGGACAGGAAAUAGGCAGAUAACCUUCAAAGGGUUAAUGUAACUGAAGACAAAUAGAGAGAAGGAACAGGGAAAGUCAAGGAAAUAAUGUUAAGGAGGAGAAGAGAACCCCCCCUUAUCUGAAAAAAUGCUGGGUUAUUAAAUAUCAACCAGAAAAAAUAAUAAUAAUAGGUCUAUGUAGACUCCUCAAAAUUGGACCCUGUCCUCCUAUUAAGCUCCUCAAGACUAAACCCUGUCCUCCUAUAACACCUUCGUGGGUGUUCUAAGCUAAAGCUUAUUCUGUGAGGUAUCGCCAAGUAUCUAAUCCUCUGAAAGCAUAGCUAGCUAGAUAUCACACAUUACAAGAAAUCCUGAGUCUAAGUGCCCAUUUAGUGUAAAGCACAAAUCCCUAGUGAAAACAAAACAGUGUAG